CUAAGAACUAUUAAAUGACAAAGAAAAAAUCAAUGGUUUUAUAUUCCCCAAAAGCAAUGUCAAACCGAAUUUAAUCUUAUAUGUACAUAAACAAAUACAUUAUAUAUAUAAUUUUUAUAAAAAAAAAAUGGUUGUAUUAACACGAGUUUUAUAUUAUGCAGCAAAGCUACCAAGGAAAUAUAUGCGACAAGGCUUAAUUGACAGUUUGCGUAUUCACGUAACUGGAGGCACCGGCGGUUCUGGAUUACCUGCUUAUGGUGGAAUUGGCGGAGCAGGAGGAAACGUAUAUCUUGUCUCAAAAGAAAGAUUAACAUUACGAAAUGUUAAAUACAAACUAGAAAAAAUGAAAUUGAAAGCAGGAACAGGAAGCGAUAGUAGCAAAAAAGGGCUCAUUGGAAUAUCUGGAAGAGACUUAAAUAUAAAGGUUCCAAUUGGUAUCACCGUUUAUGAUCAAAAUCGCAUUAAACUUGGUACAAUGAAUUCAAAGGAUACAAAAUUGGUAGUUGCUACAGGUGGAAUAGGGGGAUGUGAAAGGACAGGCUAUUGUGGCCUUAAAGGUGAAAGUCGUACUAUAGUUCUUGAUCUUCAGUUACUUGCCGAUGUUGGUUUGAUAGGUUUUCCAAAUGCAGGGAAGAGUACAUUUCUAAAUACAAUCUCAAAAGCUAAAUCAAAGAUUGCAGAUUAUCCAUUUACAACUAUAAAACCACAAGUAGGUAUUAUAAAGUAUAAAGAUCACAGACAGAUUUCAGUUGCAGAUUUACCAGGUUUAAUUGAAGGUGCACAUAUUAAUAAAGGAAUGGGUCAUAAAUUCUUAAAACACAUAGAAAGAACAAAAUUACUGCUCUUUAUUGUAGACAUUCAGGGAUGUAAAUUUUCUAUAAGACAUAAACAUAGAACUUGCCUAGAAACUGUGCUCUUGUUAAAUAAGGAAAUUGAACAUUAUAACCCUGAUUUGCUAGAUAGACCUACUAUGAUUAUAGUAAAUAAAAUGGAUACAAAUGGAGCAAAUGAAAUCUAUAAUGAAAUUAAACUAAAAUUAAAUAAUUUAUCAGAAUUUCUCUCGGAAUUUGAUGAAUCAAUUCAACCAAAAAGAGUAUUGCAAUUUGAUGAUAUUAUAACAACAUCUCUAAUUUUACAAAAUGCAGAUGAAAUACGCGAAAUUAAAACAAAGAUUAGACGUAUUAUUGAUAAAUAUGAAGAAGCAAAAAUUUCCGUUCAAGAUAUGGAUUCAAAUGAAGAUUGUUUACGUACAAAGUUAAAAAAACAAAUGCAGCAAUAUGCGCCGACAUUUGUAUAACUUAUCAUAUUUAUUUAAACGAAUUAUACAGUGUUUCGUUGUGGGUAGUACAACCUAUCCAUACUGAAACACUGUAUAAUCAAAACAAAAAUAUAUUUCUUUAAAAACAGUAUAUACAAACUGAAAAGGUGGGAAAAAAAACUGCUCAAUGUUUGAUGCUUUAUUUGCUGCAAUUUCUAUAGCUAGGCCUCCAUUUAAAGUUCUAAAUUCUGGAAUAUUUUUUAAUUUGAGUCUUCGUGCAACCUAUAAAUGUAAACUUAUAGAGUAAUUUAAUUUAAUCCAUUUAUUAUUUAUUAUCUAAGUUAUGUGAAUUAAAAAUGUAUUAAAAAAUAUGUAAAUAAAAUUAUGAUAGUUAAAAAAGA